UCUCAAUAUAAGCAUUGAUUAUAUUGUAGUCUUUUCUAAGAAAAACAUAAAAUCCAGAGCUCAUAAAAUAAAAUUUUGAUAAAUUGAACACAACUGUAAAAAUAAAUUUCUGUAUCACAUAAAGAAUAUCAAUUACAAAUAAUUUUAGCUAACUUACUAUGUGUUUAUAUUUAUAAUAUUUAUGACAUUAUAUUCUGUAUGCUAAGGAAAUAGUUCAUUCAAUCAUUACUAACAAAAGGAUAGCAGUGUUUAAAAACGAAAUAAGCUCAUUUCUCAUUAAAAACAUUUAGCUCUUUUAAAUCAGUUUUUAAAAUCUAUAUUAGCAAAGCUCUAAAAGUUUGAUAUUACAGAAUAUUAACAAGGUAGACAGAAUACAUUAUCUCAUGCACAUACCCUUAGGAGGGUAGCAUGAUAACCACAGAAUACUUAAAUGCAUAUCCUCUUUUCUACAGCAGUUCUAAGUCCAGAAAAUUACAGGACUAAUGUAAUCACAUGCAUGCAGCAAAAUAAAUCAAUAAAUAGUGAAAACAACAGAAAACUGAAUUCUCUGCAGCUAUGAAAAAGGAAAGUUCUGUGGGUACUAUAUCUACUGCUAUGAACAUAUUUCCAAAAACUGUAGACAGAUCAGUCUCAAAGUGCAGAACAAGGUGUCCCUCUGUACGCAGUGCAAGGUGUGAGCACAGGAACCAGGGCCUGGGCUCUGUCUCCCUAAGUGGACGGACGGCCAGGCAUGGAAGAGACUCACAGCAAAUGCAGUGUUUGAAUUUUACUAUCAAGCAUGUGUGGCUGUGAUGCACACACACCAAUAUGGGUUCCUAGGGUGUGGUGGUGCAUGCACUCUGGGAGAAGGACCUGCCUCCCCCAUCGUGAUGCACUGCUUGAACCCACUCUUGCUGCUAAAGCUGAUGGCCAAGAUGAACACCUGAUUACCCAUGGCCCAACUCAAUUCUCUCUCCAACAAAUGUAUAAUUGAGAGUAAAAGGGAGCAACUGGGGUGUGUUAAAUUGUUACUUAACCCAAGAUGCAGAGUGCAAUUGGUUGAAAACAGCUCAAGGAGAGAGAGAAAUGUGGUAGGGAGUGCAUGGGGUGGAACUGACAUGAAUUGAGAGAAGCAGGAGGCAGGAGCCAGGCAGUACAGGUAGCUGGACAGGGGCAUUCUGGUUUCUAAAUCCACAGUCUUUAGUGCCACUCCACUGAUUUCCUUUCCAAAAGCUUUGAUGGCCUUUCUUUUCUAUUGGGCAUCCUUCUGUCCUUUAACAAAUUUCUUUUCCACCCAGACUAGCUCAGGUGCAUUUCCAUUCUUUGCAACCCACACAUCCCUGACUAAGCUUGUAGUAUCACUUUUUCAUUUUUGACACUUUGUUGUAAAUUGCCAACUACAGUCUGAUUUUCCCCGUGUGUAUUUUUAUUACAAAGCUUACACUCCAUCCUUUGAGUGUUACUAUCUUAAAUACAGUAUUUAGCUAGGAAAUUAAAUCAAUUUUAACUAAAAUCAACAUAUUUGUCUUUCUUCUCAAAAAAUAUUCUCCUUCUACAAUCCCCCAGCUCCUGAAGGAAAGUCGUUAUCUUCCCCCAGCUUAAAUCUCAGCCAUCUUUGGGAUCUUGCAUUGCCUCAUUUCCUUGGCACCUGGAGGAGCAAGAAUCGGAGUUGAAGAAACCAGAAAAUCAGAUUUUUUUCUAAACCCAAGGAAAACCUUCUCCUCAUGUCAAACAACAAGAGCCAGACAGAAGAGUUUUAGACAGUAACCACUCUACUUCAUCCAGAUACCAUAGAAAAAGUAUGAACCUAUCCACAUCCAACAGCAAGGGUGUUCCUCUCCUAUCUGGUUGAGUGCUAUCAGAAGAGAUCUAUGUGAGAGUGAAAAUUUUAAUCACUGCCCAGGGGUAACACACACUCCCUGUGGUGUCUGUGGAAGACACAUGGAGAGAAAUAAUAGAUACUUCUGCUUCUCCCAGCCAGGUUAGUAUCAGUAGAAGCUUCAUGGGCUGCCAAAACUCCCUCCACUGAGCAGAAAUAAGGAGACCCCUAUAUUGAAUGUCAAUGAAGGCGAAGCAGAAAACUUGGACAUCUACACCCACCUGACAGUAAUGGGACAGCAGCUUCCUCCCUUACCAGAGAAAUCUCUCAGAGAAAGCUAGGUAAAAGACAAGAUUUACAUAAGAUGCACAGUACCCAAAUUUCCAAGUUUCAGUUGAAAAUCACUCAUCAUAUCAAGAACCAGGAAAAUUUCAACCUGAAUGGAAAAAGAAAAUUAAUACAUGCCAGUGUCAGAGGCAUUUGAACCAGAGCAACUCCGUCUUGAAUAAGGGCUGAGUAAAAUGAGGCUGAGACCUACUGGGUUGCAUUCCCAGGAUGUUAGGCAUUCUUAGUCAUAGGAUAAGAUAGGAGGUCAGCACAAGAUACAGGUCAAGAUACAGGCCACAAAGACCUUGCUGUUAAGAAAGGAUGUGGUAAAGAAGCCAAAACCAAGAUGGUGAUGAAAGUGACCUCUGGUCAUCCUCACUGCUCACUAUAUGCUAAUUAUAAAGCAUUAGCAUGCUAAAAGACUCUGCUACCAGCACCAUGACAGUUAAUGAAUGCCAUGGCAAUGUCAGGAGGUUACCCUGUAUGGUCUAAAAAGGGAAGGAACCCUCAGUUCCAGGAAGCGCCCACCCCUUUCCUGGAAAACUCAUGAAUAAUCCACCCCUUGUUAACCAUAUAAUCAAGAAAUAACUAUAAGUAUAUUCACUUAUAUCCACUUAUAUCCACUUAUAUUCACUGGAUAUCCACUUAUAUCCAGUAUAUUCACUUAUAUCCACUGCCUGUGGAGUAGCCAGCCAUUCUUUACUCCUUUGCUUUCUUAAUAAACUUGCUUUCACUUUACUCUAUGGACUCAUCCCAAAUUCUUUUUGCAUGAGGUCCAAGAACCCUCUCUUGGACUCUGAAUCCAGACCCCUUUCUGGUAACACCAGCACUGAGAUAACAGAGAUGUUAGGAUUAUCUGACAAGGAUUUUAAAGUAUCCUGAUAAAAAUUAUUUGAUGAGCAAUUGCAAACACACUUGAAAAUAAAAAAAAAAAUAGAAAGGCUUAGCAAAAAAAAAGGAGAAAGUUUCAGAAAAGAUAGAAGAUAUUUUGAAGGGCUAAAUUGAAAUUCUAGAACUAAAAUUUACAAUGACCAAAAUUCUUAAAAACAGCAAAUGAAAGCAAAGGAGGAGAGAACCAGUGCAUUUGGAGAUAGAGCAGAAAUUAUCCAAUAUAAGCAAGAGUGAGAAAAUAGACUGAAAAAAAAAAGAAACUCUCAGAGACCUGUAGAAAACAACAAAAAUUCUAAUAUUUGACAUCAUUGAAGUUCAAAAGAUGAAGAGAAAGAGAGCAGGACUGGAAAAGUACUCUAAUAAAUAAUAGCUAAAACUUCCCAAAUUUGUCAAAAGACACGAAUAGAUUCAAGAAGCUGAACAAAUCCCAAACAAGAUUUUCAAACAAAUCUCAAAUGAAGUAUUCACAUCAAGACACUUUUUUAUUUUAUUUUAUUUUAUUUUGUUUUAUUUUAUUUUUAUUUUUGAGACAGAGUCUCACUCUGUUGCCCAGUCUGGAGUGCAGUGGUGCCAUCUCAGCUCACUGCAACCUCUGCCUCUUGGAUUCAAGCAAUUAUCCUGCCUCAGCCUCCCGAGUAGUUGGGAUUACAAGGCACAUGCCACCACACCUGGCUAACUUUUGUAUUUUGAGUAGUGAUGGGGUUU
rnacentral:lncRNA from 1 species